rnacentral:tRNA from 1 species
GAAGCUAUAGUUUAAGUGGUACAGCGCAUGCUUAGCAUGCACCAGGUCCUGGGUUCAAUCCCCAGUACCUCCA